GUCCCUGUAGCACAAUGAAUAGCGUGUUGGACUUCUAAUCCAAAGGUCGUGGGUUCGAGCCCCAUCUGGGAUG